rnacentral:tRNA from 1 species
GCAGUUGUGGCCGAGUGGUUAAGGCGAUGGACAAGAAAUCCAUUGGGAUCUCCCCGCACAGGUUCGAAUCCUGUCGACUGCG